rnacentral:sRNA from 1 species
ACGUACGGUGUCAAGGUCACCAAUGAGGCCUUUACCAUAAUGAGAGACAAGAUUGACCUCGAGGGAAAAUCGGUCCUCGUCAUCGGGAGCGAAAAACCCUGGCUUGAGUCCGC